rnacentral:misc_RNA from 1 species
GUGAAUCAUCAAAUUUUUGAACGCAAAUUACACUCUCUUCGGAGAGUAUGCGUGUUUGAGGGUCAGCCUAUAAAAAAUCGAUAUCGUUGCUGUUUUGCGGUGGCGUUCGUCGGAAAUUGGGUCAUCUUAUAUCCUUUUGUUCUAAGAGAUUUAAAAUUCACUUUUGGUUACAUGCAUGUUACUUUGAUCUAUCUCUUUACACGUUUAAGGACUAG